GGAAGAAGCUUGCUUCUUUGCUGACGAGUGGCGGACGGGUGAGUAAUGUCUGGGAAACUGCCUGAUGGAGGGGGAUAACUACUGGAAACGGUAGCUAAUACCGCAUAACGUCGCAAGACCAAAAAGGGGGACCUUCGGGCCUCUUGCCAUCGGAUGUGCCCAGAUGGGAUUAGCUAGUAGGUGGGGUAACGGCUCACCUAGGCGACGAUCCCUAGCUGGUCUGAGAGGAUGACCAGCCACACUGGAACUGAGACACGGUCCAGACUCCUACGGGAGGCAGCAGUGGGGAAUAUUGCACAAUGGGCGCAAGCCUGAUGCAGCCAUGCCGCGUGUAUGAAGAAGGCCUUCGGGUUGUAAAGUACUUUCAGCGGGGAGGAAGGGAGUAAAGUUAAUACCUUUGCUCAUUGACGUUACCCGCAGAAGAAGCACCGGCUAACUCCGUGCCAGCAGCCGCGGUAAUACGGAGGGUGCAAGCGUUAAUCGGAAUUACUGGGCGUAAAGCGCACGCAGGCGGUUUGUUAAGUCAGAUGUGAAUCCCCGGGCUCAACCUGGGAACUGCAUCUGAUACUGGCAAGCUUGAGUCUCGUAGAGGGGGUAGAUUCCAGGUGUAGCGGUGAAAUGCGUAGAGAUCUGGAGGAAUACCGGUGGCGAAGGCGGCCCCCUGGACGAAGACUGACGCU
rnacentral:rRNA from 1 species